ensembl:lncRNA
GUCUGAUUCACAAGUUCUGUCUCCAAGUAAUUCAUCUAUCAGCCCCUUCAGGAAGUUGGGUCUUCAGGAGGCCAUGUGGUCUCCCCCAUCAUAUGACUUGAAGGGAGGAAGGGAAGGGAGAAAGGAUGGAAGUGAGGAAGAAGGGAAGGAAGAAAGGGAGGAAGAGAGGAAGGAGGGAAGGGAGGAAAGAAGGAGGGAAGGGAGGAAAGAAGGAGGGAAAGGAGAAAGAAGGAGGGAAGGAAGGAAGGAAGGAAGGAAGGAAGGAAGGAAGGAAGGAAGGAAGGAAGGAAGGAAGGAAGGAAGGAAGGAAGGAAGGAAGGAAGGAAAGAUAAUUCAUUAAGUACAAGUUCAGUGAAUUGAUAAGUCAGACAAGAUUCAGAGGAUGAAGAAGGUUCUUGAAGUUCAUGUCACACGAGGAUUGAUUGAAGGAAUGGGGAAUAUAUAUGAUCUUGGAUAAGAAAAGGCUAGCAGGGCACACAUGAUAGCUGUCUCCUAGUGUUGAAAGGUUGCCAUGUGGAAGAAGGAUUAGACUUACACUGUUUGAUCCCAGAGACAAAGCUAAGAGUGAUGUCUGAAAAUGGCAAAGAGGCAGAUUAACAUUAAUUUAUUAACAGAGCUGACCAAAGGUAGUAUGAGAUAUCUUAAAAGGUGGUAGGGCUCCUUCUCCCAUUAAACACUUCAAGCAAAGGCUAAAUGAUGGUUUAUUUGGAUAUAUCAUAAGAGAGAAUCUUUCGUAAGCCUUUCCAACUCUGAAUUCAUUUUUGUUAAUGUACCGUGCACAAAUUGUGGUGACCUAUUAAUUGGUAAUAAUCAAUAUAAUUAUUGGCAAUAGCUGCCCUAUUUUGUGGACACCUAGAUGGCACAGUGGUUAGAGUGCCAGGCCUGAAGUCAGACUGAUUCAUCUUCCUGCACUCAAAUCCAUUCUCAAAAACUUACUAGCUAUGUGGGCAAGUCAUUUUACCCUGUUUGCAACAGUUUUUCAUCUGUAACAUGAGUUGAAGAAAUGACAAACUGUUCCAAAAAUCUUCCAAGAAAAUCCCUAAUGAGGUCACCAAGUGUGAGACAUGAUUGAAGUAAAUGAAGAAAUUAAUUGCAAGAAUUAUAUAUUUACACUUCUUUGGUAUUUUUCAAACAUUGAGCUUUGAAUUCUUACUUUUUAUAAGAUGAGCACAGGGAGGGGGGUGGAGAAGGGGAGGAAAUAAGGGCAUGUGUGGAAGAGGCAUGCAUGCAAAGGACAAAAAGCUGGAUAUGGAUCAUCUGUCAGUCAAAUGAAGAUUCCAUUUGGAAUGUGACUGGGAAACAGUUGGAGGAAAGAGCCAACUGCUGGACUGGGCUGAAAGCCUUUGGCUGAUGGUGAGACUUGAAGCAAGAAGCUGGUUUUAUCUCUGGGACUUGGGGUAAUCACCUGGAGGUGACCUGGCUGAUUUGAAGGCAGAAGAAGAAGGACAAUAGUCCUUAUAUCUCUCUGACUGGCUCUGUUUCAUGCUAGUGCCUGAAUUGCCAUUUCUUUCAAUAUCCUCCAACCUAAUCCUCAUUGUAGAGAAUAGGGAAAGCCCUAUCCCUCUUAUCUCCAUCCUCCAACCUUGUCCUGUCUUCCCCAAAUAAACCCCUUGUUUGACAAAGAAGAUUAAGAACU